CCUUCGUCUAGAAAUCAUCUAUUGCUAUUUCAAAGUUCAAAUAAAAAUAUUAAUCCAUUAAUAAAUGGCAUUUGAACGAAAAUUACUUGUGGUUGUGGUUUUAUUCUUGUAUAUUUCUGCGAUAUGAUAUAUAAUAUGAUAUAUAAUACGAAUGUCUGCUUGUAGAUGGCGCGCGACACAUACGUCACCAUCAGGGAUCGAAAUGUUCCGGCUGCCGGAGCUACCGGGCCCGCUCAACCUGCUGAUCAGCUGAUAUUUUCGGUAUCGUCAAUUCUUUCCGUUUUCGCCUUUGCUUGUAAAUAUGUGGUCAUAUGUAACCAGUGGUACCAGGUGUAAAAUGUUGUAUCUGCUGAAUCAUGGCAAGUAACUCGGACCAACAGAGGUACAGAGGCUUUCUUUACUAUGACAAAGCAUUUAAUCUGAGGAUUAUCAUUGUAGUGUCAAGUUUGACUAAGGAAAUAACGAGAAGGAGUAUCUGGACAGGGCUGUUGCUAUCAGAUUGUGUACUAUUCCAGAUGGAGCGUUGGUGGCUACCGUUGAAAGAUGCAUGAAGCAAGCUAUCGGCAAUUGAUCUCCAGCAGUGUCAAUACCUGAACUGGUUUCCACCGUACAUCUCAACUGGACCUCGAGAUAUGGCCAAAAGAUGGACAAACAAAGCUCAAGAAGCUGUGAAUUUUGAUAAAGUAUGGUGUACCAUAAGUAUAGUACGUGACUGCAUUAGGAGAGUACAUGGAUUUAUUUCUCAGUCUCUCUCUCUAUUGAGUAAUAAUACACCUGCCUUGCAGGCAACUCGAUAUAGGUAAUACCUUAGAAGACUGACAGGUGUGUGUAUGUCUGCCUGUGCGAGUUUUUUUUCAUUGCUCAUCGGCUGCUUGUCUUAGAGCUUUGGAAUUUAACGUUGCUGCUGUGGUGAGAUUAUUUCCUGAUCAUUAGCUACUCUCAUCCCUAUACGAUGGUCUUACAUUUGAGUCAAUCAAUUUCACAUGUCAUCAAAGGACUGCAAUAGUGGAGCUGCUUGAGAUAGAUACUGCCGAUAGAUCUGUCUCGUUUUACGAAUUUCGAGACAGCUUUCUUGUAUUAUUGGGCAAAUCUCAGGAGGGAUUAGAAAUGGAAGUCAAUGGUGAUCCUCAAGCUUCGUGUAAGAACAACACAUUGUGUAUGAGAUACAUUCGUCAGUCAGGAGAGAGGACACAGACAGAGAAUAUGAGUUGUCAACAAUUAAAGAACAGUAAAACCUUUGAUUGUCAAAGUUUACAGGAAACACGGAGUAAUCAGAAUUCACUUUCGAUAUAAGAUAUAAAUGGUUUUUGUAAUGGUGGCGCUACUCUUCCUAAACAACUAAGAUUUAGUGCUUUUUAUUCUUAAUUAUAUUGAAACGGUAACGAAAAAUCAAAAUAAUGCCUAUUUUAAUUUCUUUCAGGCGAUUGAGCUUCUUUUCGAAAAACUCGAUCUAGAUAGUGAUGGCUUAAUCAACCGGGAUGAAUUUAUACAUUUUGUUCAAAGUGCUAGUAGUAAAUUUCACAACCAAUCACGUAUAAAUUGGUCUACUCAUCCACAAACAGGUCAGGCAAAGUCAGACAAACAUUUUGUACAUCAUCAGUAGGAGUUCAGGUUAUCGCUGCUCCGAAGAAUGAUCGACUAUGCAUAAUAAUAGUAAAAGAAUUAGAAAGGGUCUGGAUGACUUCCACCGUCAUCAAAUAUUGGGUCAUUCAAUUAUCUUUUUUACUUUAUUUUUAUAUAAAAGUAAGUCUCAUUAAUAAUUUUCUGCUAUAACCACAGUUUAAGAAAACCUAAAUCAUCCUAAUAAGAUCUUUUAAUGUAAUUACAAUCAGCUAAGA
rnacentral:lncRNA from 1 species